GAUGAACGCUGGCGGCGUGCUUAACACAUGCAAGUCGAACGGUGAAGGCGGAGCUUGCUCUGCUGGAUCAGUGGCGAACGGGUGAGUAACACGUGAGCAAUCUGCCCCUGACUCUGGGAUAAGCGCUGGAAACGGCGUCUAAUACUGGAUACGAGCUGCGAAGGCAUCUUCAGCAGCUGGAAAGAACUUCGGUCAGGGAUGAGCUCGCGGCCUAUCAGCUUGUUGGUGAGGUAACGGCUCACCAAGGCGUCGACGGGUAGCCGGCCUGAGAGGGUGACCGGCCACACUGGGACUGAGACACGGCCCAGACUACUACGGGAGGCAGCAGUGGGGAAUAUUGCACAAUGGGCGAAAGCCUGAUGCAGCAACGCCGCGUGAGGGACGACGGCCUUCGGGUUGUAAACAUCUUUUAGCAGGGAAGAAGCGAAAGUGACGGUACCUGAAGAAAAAGCGCCGGCUAACUACGUG
rnacentral:rRNA from 1 species